AACGAACGCUGGCGGCAUGCCUAACACAUGCAAGUCGAACGAGACCUUCGGGUCUAGUGGCGCACGGGUGCGUAACGCGUGGGAACCUGCCCUUAGGUUCGGAAUAACUCCCCGAAAGGGGUGCUAAUACCGGAUAAUGUCUUCGGCCCAAAGAUUUAUCGCCCUUGGAUGGGCCCGCGUUGGAUUAGCUAGUUGGUAGGGUAAAAGCCUACCAAGGCGACGAUCCAUAGCUGGUCUGAGAGGAUGAUCAGCCACACUGGGACUGAGACACGGCCCAGACUCCUACGGGAGGCAGCAGUGGGGAAUAUUGGACAAUGGGCGAAAGCCUGAUCCAGCAAUGCCGCGUGAGUGAUGAAGGCCUUAGGGUUGUAAAGCUCUUUUACCCGGGAUGAUAAUGACAGUACCGGGAGAAUAAGCUCCGGCUAACUCCGUG
rnacentral:rRNA from 1 species